CACCUCGGGCACAGUCCAGCUGCUUGUCAUGUUUAAAGCCCGCCGCUGCGCUGCCAAGCAUAGUGAUCAUCAGUCCGGAAGUAAUGAGUGUCAGACUCCUGUCGGCGGAAGGCUUGGCACCUGCGAGGGAUGCCUAGGAGAAACCCUCUUUGUUCAGAAUUACCAGUGAUGGAGAUCAAUGUAACAGUUCACUUAUACAGAGGAGUUGAUUCCAGAAACUCAUAGCGACUCCUGCGGACUGAUCGUUUUUUUGAAAGAAGUUCCUAGCCUGUUGCUACAAGCUGCUACAAUGUAGAGCUUGGUCCUACAGAACUACAAUUCCCAGCAUGCUGUGGACCUCCGCGGUUGCAGUGCACCCUGGGAAG